rnacentral:tRNA from 1 species
CCCUGGUUAGCUCAAUUGGUAGAGCGGUCCACCAGUAAUGGAGAGGUCCCGGGUUCGAUACCCGGACCAGGCG